AGGUACACAAGGAGAUGAGGAUGGUCAUCGCCAUUUUCUGAGCUGCGAACGGGCAGAAAGCUACACAAGGACAUGAUGACGGUCAUUGUCAUUUUCUGAGCUGCGAACGGGCAGAAAGAUGAGGAUGGUCAUUGUCAUUUUCUCAGCUGUGAACGGGCAGAAAGCUACACAAGGACAUGAUGACGGUCAUUGUCAUUUUCUGAGCUGCGAACGGGCAGAAAGCUACACAAGGACACGAUGACAGUCAUUGUCAUUUGCUGAGCUGCGAACGGGCAGAAAGCUACACAAGGAGAUGAGGAUGGUCAUUGUCAUUUUUUGAGCUGCGAACGGGCAGAAAG